GGUUUUUCUCUUAAACGAUUCUU
rnacentral:snRNA from 1 species